rnacentral:rRNA from 1 species
UACGUAGGGGGCAAGCGUUGUCCGGAAUCAUUGGGCGUAAAGAGCGUGUAGGCGGCCAAGCAGGUCCGUUGUGAAAACUGGAGGCUUAACCUCCAGACGUCGACGGAAACCGCGUGGCUAGAGUCCGGAAGAGGAGAGUGGAAUUCCUGGUGUAGCGGUGGAAUGCGCAGAUAUCAGGAGGAACACCGGUGGCGAAGGCGGUUCUCUGGGCAUUACCUGACGCUGAGGAGCGAAAGCAUGGGGAGCGAACAGG